GAUGAACGCUAGCGGGAGGCCUAACACAUGCAAGCCGAGCGGUAUUUGUUCUUCGGAACAGAGAGAGCGGCGCACGGGUGCGGAACACGUGUGCAACCUGCCUUUAUCUGGGGGAUAGCCUUUCGAAAGGAAGAUUAAUACCCCAUAAUAUAUUGAGUGGCAUCACUUGAUAUUGAAAACUCCGGUGGAUAGAGAUGGGCACGCGCAAGAUUAGAUAGUUGGUGAGGUAACGGCUCACCAAGUCAAUGAUCUUUAGGGGGCCUGAGAGGGUGAUCCCCCACACUGGUACUGAGACACGGACCAGACUCCUACGGGAGGCAGCAGUGAGGAAUAUUGGACAAUGGGUUAGCGCCUGAUCCAGCCUUCCCGCGUGAAGGACGACGGCCCUAUGGGUUGUAAACUUCUUUUGUAUAGGGAUAAACCUACUCUCGUGAGAGUAGCUGAAGGUACUAUACGAAUAAGCACCGGCUAACUCCGUG
rnacentral:rRNA from 1 species